GAUGAACGCUGGCGGCGUGCUUAACACAUGCAAGUCGAACGGUGAAAGCGGGAGCUUGCUCCUGCUGGAUCAGUGGCGAACGGGUGAGUAACACGUGAGCAAUCUGCCCCGAACUCUGGGAUAAGCGCUGGAAACGGCGUCUAAUACCGGAUACGACGCGCGACGGCAUCGUCUGCGCGUGGAACGAACUUCGGUUCGGGAUGAGCUCGCGGCCUAUCAGCUUGUUGGUGAGGUAAUGGCUCACCAAGGCGUCGACGGGUAGCCGGCCUGAGAGGGUGACCGGCCACACUGGGACUGAGACACGGCCCAGACUCCUACGGGAGGCAGCAGUGGGGAAUUUUGCGCAAUGGGGGAAACCCUGACGCAGCAACGCCGCGUGAGUGAUGAAGGCCUUCGGGUCGUAAAGCUCUUUUAGUGGGGAAGAAAUCCCGUGGUUACGCCAUGGGUCUGACGGUACCCACAGAAAAAGUUCCGGCUAACUACGUGCCAGCAGCCGCGGUAAUAC
rnacentral:rRNA from 1 species